GGGGGAUAUUGCACAAUGGGGGAAACCCUGAUGCAGCGACGCCGCGUGGAGGAAGAAGGUUUUCGGAUUGUAAACUCCUGUCGUUAGGGACGAUAAUGACGGUACCUAACAAGAAAGCACCGGCUAACUACGUGCCAGCAGCCGCGGUAAAACGUAGGGUGCAAGCGUUGUCCGGAAUUACUGGGUGUAAAGGGAGCGCAGGCGGGAAGACAAGUUGGAAGUGAAAACCAUGGGCUCAACCCAUGAAUUGCUUUCAAAACUGUUUUUCUUGAGUAGUGCAGAGGUAGAUGGAAUUCCCGGUGUAGCGGUGGAAUGCGUAGAUAUCGGGAGGAACACCAGUGGCGAAGGCGGUCUACUGGGCACCAACUGACGCUGAGGCUCGAAAGCAUGGGUAGCAAACAGGAUUAGAUACCCUGGUAGUCCAUGCCGUAAACGAUGAUUACUAGGUGUUGGGGGAUUGACCCCCUCAGUGCCGCAGUUAACACAAUAAGUAAUCCACCUGGGGAGUACGACCGCAAGGUUGAAACUCAAAGGAAUUGACGGGGGCCCGCACAAGCAGUGGAGUAUGUGGUUUAAUUCGAAGCAACGCGAAGAACCUUACCAGGUCUUGACAUCCGAUGCAUAACACAGAGAUGUGUGAAAUCCUUCGGGACAUCGAGACAGGUGGUGCAUGGUUGUCGUCAGCUCGUGUCGUGAGAUGUUGGGUUAAGUCCCGCAACGAGCGCAACCCUUAUUGCCAGUUACUACGUUAAGAGGACUCUGGCGAGACUGCCGUUGACAAAACGGAGGAAGGUGGGGAUGACGUCAAAUCAUCAUGCCCUUUAUGACUUGGGCUACACACGUACUACAAUGGCGUUAAACAAAGAGAAGCAAGACCGCGAGGUGGAGCAAAACUCAGAAACAACGUCCCAGUUCGGACUGCAGGCUGCAACUCGCCUGCACGAAGUCGGAAUUGCUAGUAAUCGUGGAUCAGCAUGCCACGGUGAAUACGUUCCCG
rnacentral:rRNA from 1 species